rnacentral:rRNA from 1 species
GUAGGUGGCAAGCGUUGUCCGGAAUUUUUGGGCGUAAAGCGCGCGCAGGCGGUUCUUUAAGUCUGAUGUGAAAGCCCACGGCUCAACCGUGGAGGGUCAUUGGAAACUGGAGAACUUGAGUACAGAAGAGGAAAGCGGAAUUCCACGGUGUAGCGGUGAAAUGCGUAGAGAUGUGGAGGAACACCAGUGGCGAAGGCGGCUUUUCUGGUCUGUAACUCGACGCUGAGGCGCGAAAGCGUGGGGAGCAAACAGGGAUUAGAUACCCUGGUAGUCCACGCCGUAAACGAUGAGUGCUAAAGUGUUAGGGGGUUUCCCGCCCCUUAGUGCUGCAGCUUAACGCAUUAAGCACUCGCUGGGGAGUACGCCGCAAGGCUG